rnacentral:rRNA from 1 species
AAAGCGCACAGGACCACAUGGUCUGGUGUGAAAAACUCCGGUGGUAUGAGAUGGACUCGCGUCUGAUUAGCUAGUUGGUGAGGUAACGGCCCACCAAGGCGACGAUCAGUAGCCGGCCUGAGAGGGUGAACGGCCACAUUGGGACUGAGACACGGCCCAAACUCCUACGGGAGGCAGCAGUGGGGAAUAUUGCACAAUGGGGGAAGCCCUGAUGCAGCGACGCCGCGUGAGUGAAGAAGUAUUUCGGUAUGUAAAGCUCUAUCAGCAGGGAAGAAAAUGACGGUACCUGACUAAGAAGCCCCGGCUAACUACGUGCCAGCAGCCGCGGUAAUACGUAGGGGGCAAGCGUUAUCCGGAUUUACUGGGUGUAAAGGGAGCGUAGACGGCUUUGCAAGUCUGACGUGAAAAUCCGGGGCUCAACCCCGGAACUGCGUUGGAAACUGUGAGGCUUGAGUGCCGGAGAGGUAAGCGGAAUUCCUAGUGUAGCGGUGAAAUGCGUAGAUAUUAGGAGGAACACCAGUGGCGAAGGCGGCUUACUGGACGGCAACUGACGUUGAGGCUCGAAAGCGUGGGGAGCAAACAGGAUUAGAUACCCUGGUAGUCACGCCGUAAACGAUGAAUACUAGGUGUUGGGGGACAAAGUCCUUCGGUGCCGCCGCAAACGCAUUAAGUAUUCCACCUGGGGAGUACGUUCGCAAGAAUGAAACUCAAAGGAAUUGACGGGGACCCGCACAAGCGGUGGAGCAUGUGGUAUAAUUCGAAGCAACGCGAAGAACCUUACCAAGUCUUGACAUCGAUUCGACGGGACUGUAAUGAGUCCUUUCCCUUCGGGGACGAAGAAGACAGGUGGUGCAUGGUUGUCGUCAGCUCGUGUCGCGAGAUGUUGGGUUAAGUCCCGCAACGAGCGCAACCCUUAUCUUCAGUAGCCAGCAAGUGGAGUUGGGCACUCUGGAGAGACUGCCAGGGACAACCUGGAGGAAGGUGGGGAUGACGUCAAAUCAUCAUGCCCCUAAUGACUUGGGCUACACACGUGCUACAAUGGCGUAAACAAAGGGAAGCAGCCCUGUGAAGGUGAGCAAAUCCCAAAAAUAACGUCUCAGUUCGGAUUGUAGUCUGCAACUCGACUACAUGAAGCUGGAAUCGCUAGUAAUCGCGAAUCAGAAUGUCGCGGUGAAUACGUUCCCGGGUCUUGUACACACCGCCCGUCACACCAUGGGAGUCGGUAACGCCCGAAGUCAGUGACCCAACCGCAAGGAGGGAGCUGCCGAAGGCGGGACUGGUGACUGGGGUGAAGUCGUAACAAGGUA